CGGAGUAUAACAGAAAAUGUCUUGUCUAUCGCGCAGAACGUUUGAAGAAAAUACUCCUAGAGCAUAUUUAGUAACUUGCUAUUCGCUUUACACUGGCCACUACGCUUUACCCACAGCAGGGCAGUGAAAAAUGGUCAAGCACAAAU
rnacentral:snoRNA from 1 species